UACGUAGGGUGCAAGCGGUGUCCGGAUUUAUUGGGUUUAAAGGGUGCGUAGGUGGCUUUUUAAGUCAUGGGUGAAAGCCCGCAGCUCAAAUGUGGAAUUGCCUGUGAUACUGAGGAGCUUGAGUGCGGUUGAGGCAGCUGGAAUUGGUGGUGUAGCGGUGAAAUGCAUAGAUACCACCAGGAACACCGAUUGCGAAGGCAGGUCGCUAAGCCGUAACUGACAUUGAGGCACGAAAGCGUGGGGAGCAAACAGG
rnacentral:rRNA from 1 species